GAAACCGGGUGAUCUAGCCAUGGGCAGGUUGAAGGUUGAGUAACAUCAACUGGAGGACCGAACCGACUAAUGUUGAAAAAUUAGCGGAUGACUUGUGGCUAGGGGUGAAAGGCCAAUCAAACUCGGAGAUAGCUGGUUCUCCCCGAAAGCUAUUUAGGUAGCGCCUCGGACGAAUACUACUGGGGGUAGAGCACUGUUAAGGCUAGGGGGUCAUCCCGACUUACCAACCCUUUGCAAACUCCGAAUACCAGUAAGUACUAUCCGGGAGACACACGGCGGGUGCUAACGUCCGUCGUGGAGAGGGAAACAACCCAGACCGCCAGCUAAGGUCCCAAAGUAUUGCUAAGUGGGAAACGAUGUGGGAAGGCUCAGACAGCUAGGAUGUUGGCUUAGAAGCAGCCAUCAUUUAAAGAAAGCGUAAUAGCUCACUAGUCGAGUCGGCCUGCGCGGAAGAUGUAACGGGGCUAAGCAAUACACCGAAGCUGCGGCAAUAUCUUUUAGAUAUUGGGUAGGGGAGCGUUCUGUAAGCCGUUGAAGGUGAAUCGUAAGGUUUGCUGGAGGUAUCAGAAGUGCGAAUGCUGACAUGAGUAACGACAAAGGGGGUGAAAAACCUCCUCGCCGGAAGACCAAGGGUUCCUGUCCAACGUUAAUCGGGGCAGGGUGAGUCGACCCCUAAGGUGAGGCCGAAAGGCGUAAUCGAUGGGAAACGGGUUAAUAUUCCCGUACUUCUGACUAUUGCGAUGGGGGGACGGAGAAGGCUAGGUGGGCCAGGCGACGGUUGUCCUGGUUCAAGUGCGUAGGCUUGAGAGUUAGGUAAAUCCGGCUCUCUCUAAGGCUGAGACACGACGUCGAGCUGCUACGGCAGUGAAGUCAUUGAUGCCAUGCUUCCAGGAAAAGCCUCUAAGCUUC
rnacentral:rRNA from 1 species